rnacentral:misc_RNA from 1 species
CUAUCAGCAGGAGAAAUAAGGAGACAGUAAGUGACUGGUAAAUAAGGCAAAAAUAAGGCAAAAUGGAGUUGGAAAUUACCCAAAGAACAGUGUCGCACAAGGUGACGACAAUCACCAAGACGGAACAAUACUUCAAGUCUAGUGAUAUGGCCAACACCAAACUCUUCGGGAAGGACCUGAGUCAGUAUGAGGAUGUGGACAUCGAUGACCUUUUGGAGCAGCUCUCGCCGGAGGAGCUGGAGAUGCUGGCGGGAGAGGCUGAUCCUGAUGAUACCUUAGUCCCACCUAGUGAACGUAACAGCUACAAAUGUGAAAAGGGAGCUACAGGACCUCUAAACCGCAAGCACCUCAUAGACCACAUAAACGAUCAAGCUAUCAAUGAACCAGACCGGCCAGAUCUUGUCCCAUACGUUGCGGGAACUGUUAGAGGCAAGAAGUGGAUUCCUCCACCACCUCCAGAACCACAGGAAGAUGAAGAUGCUGUUGCCCAAGAAGUAGAAGUGGAUCUUGAUGAAGAGUUUGCAUCUGUUCUGAACACAGCCACUGAAGAUGAGAUUGUUGACUUGGCUGCUAUCCUGGGCUUCCACUCAAUGAUGAACCAGGAGCAGUACCAUGCGUCACUUUUGAACAAAGGCAAGCCAUUAGGUGUUGGUUGGGGUGGAAUCACAAAGGCUACUAAAUUUAAAGCCCUUCCUGCUGAACCUCCUAAUGACACUGACCCUGAGGAGAGUAUCAGAAAGCUUAAGGAGGACGAUCCAAACUGCAAGGAGCUCAACUUUAACAAUAUAAGGACCAUUUCUGAUGAACAAUUUAAACGUCUGUUUGAUGCCUUGGAAAUGAACACGAAGUUGGAAAGUCUUAGCAUGUCAAAUGUUGGAUUGUCAGAUCGACACUUAGAUGCACUUGUAGUUUCCCUCGCUACAAACAACGUACUGAGGACGCUAAACCUGGAGACGAAUAACAUAAGCCCGUCAGGUAUUGUUCGAAUUAUGGAAGCUCUUCUAAAAACUCAUUCCGUGGAAGAGAUUCGUCUUGCAAACCAGCGGGCGAGUGUUCUUGGUAAUAAGAUAGAGAUGCAGCUCACAGACAUUAUUGAACAAAACAACACAGUCCUACGUGUCGGCAUCCACUUUGAGUUCAACGAUGCCCGCAACCGUGUCUCCAAGCACCUACAAAAGAAUCUGGACACCUGUGAGUAUGAAGCUGUUUCUGGCAUCAUUACAUAAGGCAUCAGGGCUCUACAUGGAUUCAUCGCACCGCUGUUGUAAUUUUAGUGCCGAUGAAUUUUAUUAUAAAUAUUAUUAAUUUGGUGUUGAUAAUUACAGUUGUUUGAAGCAGGUUUCCAGGUCUGAUAAGUUGCAGAUGUCAUAAUUUGGAUUUGCAAGUUUUAAGGACAUUUUAAAUGAGGUAAUAUGCUUCAACAGGUUUUUUCUUUGCUCUGCUUUUUUUAGUUUAGUUGCACACACUAAUUUCGCUCAAGCUUGGUAAGUUAUGGAAACCCCUAAUAUAUAUUAUCCGUUACAAAAUCCUUUCAUCAAUUCCUUUGUUUGCAAGAAUAUGGCAUCUGAUCAUAUAAAAAUAUUGGCCUGAAUUCUGUUGGGCAAUAUUUUAAGCAUAUUUAAAGAAUGUAAAUACUGUAUGGCUUGCAUUUCUAGGAAUUGUAUAGAUUUGCUUAAAUAUCUUAGAAUUAUAAUAAGAAAAUAAUUAUAUUCAGUGAGCAUGAAGCCUCUGAAAGGUGGCAUCUUUUUGGUGGUGUUCCCAUAAUUUUAGGGAAUACUGUAAUUGCAUUUACCUUCAGUUAUAUCCCAAGACAAAAAAGUGAUUUUGAGUUUGAAAAUCUUCAUUUUUAUCUGUAUUGUGUAAAAUCCAAUAUUCACAACUAAACAGCCAUGCAGAAUCUCUAGAGAAUAUUUUGGAUAAUGUACAUCUGUAGCCUUUCAACAAGAGGACUCAAAAUAUUCUGCAUUUCAUUUAAAGGCUGACACAUACUAUAUGCAAGUCUGAUAUUUUCUUUAUGCAGCUGCAGUAGAGGAAUGUAUUUCUGCCAAUUUUUUAAAAUUUGCCUUUGUAAAAUAGGGUAACAUGACUUGACACAAGCUCCCUAUUGUUGUGAAUAUGCAUUUAGUGCAUCAUCAAUUGCAUUUUUACUGUUACACUUGAAGUGGAUUGUUUGAUUGGAAUGUUUACUCUUUUGCAUUUGCAAAACAAGAUAUAAAAUGAACCUCAAUUUUGAGUUGGAAAAUUAUGUAUUGAGAACAAAAAUUUUGUAAUGUAAAAAAUGUUACAGAAAAGUGUGUAAUAAUCACGAUACUAUUGAUCCAAAAGACUUUAAAGAAGUAGAAAUUAAGCUAUGCUUUGUAUUAUGCUUGAUCAGUUAUAUACAUUAUCACCACCCCGUUUCCCACUGUCACAAGGUGGGGCUUAGUCAGUUACUUAGGUAUCUGCUUCAUAUUUUAAAAGGAUCUAAAUAUUGAGGUAUGUAUUUUGAAUUCUUAUAUAAGUACUUGUUUCAAAAGUUGUAUAGCCUAAAAGUUUCAGUAAUCAGGGAAUUCCUCCAUAAUUCUGAAGACUUCUAAAGCAUUAAAGGCCUCAUUAACAAAUUAUACUUAAUAGUGGAAAAAAAAAGAAACAUGGUGUAUGGAAUAGGAUUGAGAUGCCAGCUAUAAGCUAAAGCUUGUUGGUCAAAUUUUAGGUAAAUAACAAUAUAUAAGCAUUUAUGAACUUGAAAAGAUAUGUUCACAACAAAAGAAUAUUCACUAAUGUUGCUAGCUUGCUUAUUAUCGCUAUCUUUCUCCAAUAGUCAAGUAUCUGAUGCAAAAUGCAUCAGUUUUAUGUUAUGUACUCUGCUUCCUCUUGAUUUAAGUUCUAGCACUUUAGUUUUCUGAUACUUAUGUAUGUACUGUAUAUAAACAGACUUCAGUUUUUAUUUCUUCCUUGGUUACCCUCAUCUUGUUGCUUAUAUAUAUACCAUAUAUAGUGGUACAAAUGCUUGCUUAAAAGUAAUACACAAAAUUUAUUUGGCAAGCUUAAUGGAAAUUAUAUUUUUCUUGUAAAAACUUAUUAGUUGCAUAAAGCUGCUUUCUAACACCAGUUCAAGCAAAUUAUAUCUUCCCUUUGCACAGCAGAAUAAACAGGCAAAAGUGAGGAGGAGAUAAGGCUGUCAAGAGCCCAUUGCUUGUUGUUGUUUUUUUUUUUCUUUUCAGCCUGAGAGCAGUGUGUUAGUAAUAUAGUGUAGGGUAGACUUCUCUUCUUCCCCAUUCCAUUCCGUGAGCUGCGCAUGGGUCAUAAAUCCAGGAACUGUGUUGUUGGCUACCCAAUUCUUCCUUCAUUUAUGCGAAUACCAAAGGAUGAGGAUGAAGAGGAGUAUUGAAUUCAGGCCUGGAUGAAUAUUGCAUGAUGCCAUCGCAUACUGUUCCAACCUCCUCAAUGUGUCUUGGUUAUCCUAUAUACUGUAUGUAUAGUAUUACCCUGACCUCUGCACUCACGGCAGUGUAGUCGCAGAUUAAAAAUUUGUGAUUUCCCCAAGUUAUUCAUUGUGUUGAGUCAGUCUGCAGUAUAAGUAUGUUAACAUUAUAAAUUUUUUUCAUUUGGUGAAAAUAUAUAACUAUUUCAGUUUUCUUUUUUGUAUACAAAGAUUUAUUUCUUUAUUUUAUAAAAUACCUCUCAAAUCAGCACACACAUUUUCUGGUAUCUGUUACUGUACAUGGCGUUAAGUAUGAGCAUGUUUGCGAUGGUAACCUGCAGCCCUAGGCCAAACGUCUGGUCAGUUGAAACCACCCUUCCAUUUUCGUCGACUCUCCCUCAUUAUGCCCCGUCAGCACCAGGAAGCUAACCCAGCCUGCCAAAGACUAGGAUGUUUGCAAAUGAUGUUGGGAUAGAAAAAUAAUUUUUAUCACGGCUUUCCUUUUAAUGUGACAUUCUAUAUCUCGAGAACAUAAUUAAUUAAUUUUUUUUUAUCCUUAUUUACCCUUUGAGGUUGGAUCCUCGCUCAAGUGAACUUUUGUCACACCAAACAGCUUCUGGAUAUUGGGCACAAAAUGAAUGGAUGGGUGUAGUAUGUAUUCGGAAGUAUAGUAGACAUACAAGGUUGACAAGGAAACUUUUGUAUCAUUUUAGAACUAUAUACUAUAACUGUUUACCUAGUCUGAAAAGGUAAAUCAUGAUUAUAGAUUUGUUACUUAUUUUAAUUUUUGUAAAGAUUAUAGUUGUAUGGAUGAAUUUUUAGAUAGUAUUGAGUCUUAUUAUUGUUACCUGGGGACCUACUAACACUUGACUCAACACAGUGUGUUUGAUGUGUGUCAAAGCUGGUAUCCAGUCCGAUGUGAUAAGCUCAGAGGUUAUUAGUUUACACAAGAUUAAGUAAGGUUCACUUUUCUAAAACAUUCACCAUAACCAAUUAUGCACAUUUCAUAUUUUGUAUGGAACUGUGAACCUUAUAGAAUAUUGAAGUACAGCUUAUAAUCACUGUUUAUUUUAAAUAUAUCUCCUAGUACUUUCAACUUUGAUUUAGAACUUAUAAGUCAAUCAAACAGGUGCUCCUUUGAUCACUGCCGACAAUGCUAAGAUGUCAUUUUAUAUCUGUGUUGAAAUUUAAACGGGAAGGAUCUCGCUAUUGCAGAAUGAAAGAGUUAACCUGAAUUUUAUGAACCUCAGUGUGGCAGUACUAUUUAUCUUUUAACUUGCAGUAAAUUAGUCUGAUACUGAUGGAGGUAAUUUCUUCAGCAAAGGUCUGUUUUACUACAGGAUGAAAAAUGCUUGACCUGUGUUGUCUGUAAUGAAGCUUAUAUUUAUUGCUUUGGUGGAGGCGAGGCGUUUUCUCUUGGAUUGCAUUGAAGAUGUAACUUUUGUUUUCCGAGUAAUGAGUUUAGCAACAACUUAAUUCCAUGGCAAGGUCCUCAAUUACAUAGGCUCGAUUACAGGCAACUUUUCUAACAUUCUGUGAUAGGGAUAAUAGCAUUUUUUUAAGCCACUCUACUCAUUAUGAAUGAGUUUAUGAAAAAGUACUGUUUCACUUUCAUGAGUAUAUUAAUGACCGUCUUGUAGCAGAUGUACAAGUAUUAAAUUCUUGUCUUUUACUAUGCAUUUCUUAUAUGAGCUUCGCUUUUAAUGGAUAUUUUAGACUAAAAGAUUUUGGAAAAUUGAGUCUUAUUAAGAAUUUAUUUUACAACAAUGGAAAGGGAGCUUCACCUGUGUAUUUUCAUGUUUAAUUAGAAACAUUGUAUAUGUCUACUAUUAAUAUGAGUUCCCAUGUUAUAUAAAUGAUAAAGGAUUUCUACUGCAAAAGCAAAGUGUACUCUUUAUUACAGGUUCCAUCAAUAUUUAUGUUGUACAAUAUUGUACAUAUGCAUUCAGUAAAGUUUUCUUUCCAUAAA